rnacentral:rRNA from 1 species
AUUGAACGCUGGCGGCAUGCCUUACACAUGUAAGUCGAACGGUAACAGGUUAAGCUGACGAGUGGCGAACGGGUGAGUAAUAUAUCGGAACGUGCCCAGUCGUGGGGGAUAACUGCUCGAAAGAGCAGCUAAUACCGCAUACGACCUGAGGGUGAAAGCGGGGGAUCGCAAGACCUCGCGCGAUUGGAGCGGCCGAUAUCAGAUUAGGUAGUUGGUGGGGUAAGAGCCCACCAAGCCAACGAUCUGUAGCUGGUCUGAGAGGACGACCAGCCACACUGGGACUGAGACACGGCCCAGACUCCUACGGGAGGCAGCAGUGGGGAAUUUUGGACAAUGGGCGCAAGCCUGAUCCAGCCAUGCCGCGUGCGGGAAGAAGGCCUUCGGGUUGUAAACCGCUUUUGUCAGGGAAGAAAAGGUUCUGGUUAAUACCUGGGACUCAUGACGGUACCUGAAGAAUAAGCACCGGCUAACUACGUGCCAGCCGCCGCGGUAA